AGCGAACGCUGGCGGCAGGCCUAACACAUGCAAGUCGAACGAAGUCUUCGGACUUAGUGGCGGACGGGUGAGUAACACGUGGGAACGUACCUUUUGGUUCGGAACAACCCGGGGAAACUUGAGCUAAUACCGGAUGAGCCCUUAGGGGGAAAGAUUUAUCGCCGAAAGAGCGGCCCGCGUUAGAUUAGCUAGUUGGUGAGGUAAAGGCUCACCAAGGCUACGAUCUAUAGCUGGUCUGAGAGGAUGAUCAGCCACACUGGGACUGAGACACGGCCCAGACUCCUACGGGAGGCAGCAGUGGGGAAUCUUGCGCAAUGGGCGAAAGCCUGACGCAGCCAUGCCGCGUGAAUGAUGAAGGUCUUAGGAUUGUAAAAUUCUUUUACCAGGGACGAUAAUGACGGUACCUGGAGAAAAAGCCCCGGCUAACUUCGUGCCAGCCGCCGCGGUAAAAC
rnacentral:rRNA from 1 species